ACGGCCAUACCACGUUGAAAACAUCGGUUCUCGUCCGAUCACCGAAGUUAAGCAACGUCGGGCCAGGUCAGUACUGGUAACCCAGGGUGACCACCUGGGAACACCGGUUCAAAAUAGACC